UACUCUUGACAUCCAGAGAACUUUCCAGAGAUGGAUUGGUGCCUUCGGGAACUCUGAGACAGGUGCUGCAUGGCUGUCGUCAGCUCGUGUUGUGAAAUGUUGGGUUAAGUCCCGUAACGAGCGCAACCCUUAUCCUUAUUUGCCAGCGAGUAAUGUCGGGAACUCUAAGGAGACUGCCGGUGACAAACCGGAGGAAGGUGGGGAUGACGUCAAGUCAUCAUGGCCCUUACGAGUAGGGCUACACACGUGCUACAAUGGCCGGUACAGAGGGCUGCAAACUCGCGAGAGUAAGCUAAUCUCACAAAACCGGUCGUAGUCCGGAUCGCAGUCUGCAACUCGACUGCGUGAAGUCGGAAUCGCUAGUAAUCGUGAAUCAGAAUGUCACGGUGAAUACGUUCCCGGGCCU
rnacentral:rRNA from 1 species